rnacentral:misc_RNA from 1 species
CACCCCUCAAGCUCUGCUUGGUGUUGGGCCUCUGUCGCGCCUCGUCGCGCCGACUGGCCUCAAAUGCUUCGGCAGCCUCCUUUGCCAGCCCUCUCAGCGCAGCAGUUCGCGCCUGUGAGCCGGCGGGAGAGCCGCCUCCAUCGAAACCCCCCAAA